UGUAUCCUUCACUUGCUCAUUUGGUGGAUUAAGCCCGAGCCUCAGUUGCUCGGGCUUUUUUGU
rnacentral:ncRNA from 1 species